rnacentral:rRNA from 1 species
GAGUUUGAUCGUGGCUCAGAUUGAACGCUGGCGGCAUGCCUUACACAUGCAAGUCGAACGGCAGCAUGAUCUAGCUUGCUAGAUUGAUGGCGAGUGGCGAACGGGUGAGUAAUACAUCGGAACGUGCCCUGUAGUGGGGGAUAACUAGUCGAAAGAUUAGCUAAUACCGCAUACGACCUGAGGGUGAAAGUGGGGGACCGCAAGGCCUCAUGCUAUAGGAGCGGCCGAUGUCUGAUUAGCUAGUUGGUGGGUAAAGGCCCACCAAGGCGACGAUCAGUAGCUGGUCUGAGAGGACGAUCAGCCACACUGGGACUGAGACACGGCCCAGACUCCUACGGGAGGCAGCAGUGGGGAAUUUUGGGACAAUGGGCGAAAGCCUGAUCCAGCAAUGCCGCGUGUGUGAAGAAGGCCUCGG